rnacentral:rRNA from 1 species
UACGGGGGGGGGCAAGCGUUGUUCGGAAUUACUGGGCGUAAAGGGCUCGUAGGCGGCCAACUAAGUCAGACGUGAAAUCCCUCGGCUUAACCGGGGAACUGCGUCUGAUACUGGAUGGCUUGAGUUCGGGAGAGGGAUGCGGAAUUCCCGGUGUAGAGGUGAAAUUCGUAGAUAUCGGGAGGAACACCGGUGGCGAAGGCGGCAACCUGGGUCGAGACUGACGCUGAGGCGCGAAAGCGUGGGGAGCAAACAGG